GCGGACGCCCCAACCCCGUGGCCCCCUCGAACCCCACGUGCUUCCUAAAAACACUUAGAACCGUUCCAAUACCUUUAGUACCACGCUCGGCUCAGGCCCAUCCUCAGCUCAGAGCGCGGUAGCACUGUCCUCCCGCCCAGGAGGUUUAAGGCCUGGCUAAACUCCGCCCCCCACCGCCCUGGCCAAUCAGGAGCCACGUCCUCCGGCGCGCUCCUUUCCCGCCCCGCCUCCCGUCUCCAUGGGAACGAUCUGAGCGUCUACUCCGCGUCCUGGGGCGUCGGUUUCGGUCCCGCCCGGCUGCGGCCGUUGUUUGCUGGGACAGUCCUUGGGCCGGUCUCCGUCCCUGUCCAGAGGCUCCGUACGUGAGGCGGACUCUCGGGAGCACCGAGCCGGGCGCGGAUAAGGGCGAGGACAGCUGUUGCAGGAACGGGGGCAGAAAAGGAGGACCAGGGGCCGAGAAGCCGCUCUGGCUACGAAAUCUCAGACACCGUUGUAAAUGGGUCCUUCACAGCCGCCCGCCCCACGUUAAAACUGAAGAAGAGGUGCAAGGAGGCGGAAGCAGCUUGGGCCUCGGGACCGAGGGUCCUGUGAUCAGCAAGGGAGGACCAGAGAGGCUCAUGCCUCCGUUUUACAGCUCAGCCUUCUCGACCCUCCACCCUUCCCCAAAAAAGGAGCACAAAGGAGCAAGCAGGGGUCACGCCUUUCCUCACAGUCUGACCCGGUUACGUGAGGCAGCCCGAGGUAACCAGAUCCACGUCUACGAAGAGGAGAAAUAGAACCUACCGUGGCGGGUUGUUAAGAAGAUUCGCUAAGUUCAUUCAUUUGAAAAACUCAUCACAGAGCUUGACAAACAGGCCUAACCAUUGGCUGCGAUUAUGUUAUCAUCACAGGGAGCAAGAACCUUGGCCGCCGUCUCGGUUUCCCGAAUACUUACUGGUCUCUAGUUUUAUGUGACUUUUAAGAUCUGUGUGGGCAUUUUUUAUAUUGGCAUUUGUACAUCACUAGGAAUUUGUCCUUUUAUGUAGAGGUUCACAUGUAUUUGCAUAUAGUUCAUAAUACC
rnacentral:lncRNA from 1 species